rnacentral:lncRNA from 1 species
GAUGGUUUUAUGUGAUCCUUGUGUUGUCAAUCAAUGUUACUAAUAACAACUUGUGAGAAGUUUGAAGUUUCACAUCUUAAUAUUUUCUAUAGGUCAGUGGCAAUGAACAAACUGAUAUUCUGCAUGUUGAAUUAUUGCCAAGGAUAAAAGAAUUAAUGACUGACAGACUGAUGCUAUGCUUCGUAUAUGAAGUUAAGGAACCAGCAAAUGUUUGGACAGCUAAAGAAACAACUAGUUUUGUGCCCAUAACCAAAAUGAGGUGCAUAGGCAUAUUCAAGACAUAGUGUUUUGUUUCUGAUCUAUACUGCCUAAAAAUGGAAUUAUCUGUCAACAUU